CCUACGGGCGGCAGCAGUAGGGAAUCUUCCACAAUGGGCGAAAGCCUGAUGGAGCAACACCGCGUGAGUGAAGAAGGGUUUCGGCUCGUAAAGCUCUGUUGUUGGAGAAGAACGAGCGUGAGAGUAACUGUUCACGCCGUGACGGUAUACAAACAGAAAGUUACGGCUAACUACGUGACAGCAGCCGUGGUAAUUAGUUGGUGGUAAGCGUUAUCCGGCUUUAUUGGGCGUGAAGCGAGCGCAUGCGGUUGCUUAGGUCUGAUGUGAAAGCCUUCGGCUUAACCGAAGAAGGGCUUCGGAAACCGGGCAACUUGAGUGCAGAAGAGGACAGUGGAAUUCCAUGUGUAGCGGUGGAAUGCGUAGAUAUAUGGAAGAACACCAGUGGCGAAGGCGGCUGUCUGGUCUGCAACUGACGCUGAGGCUCGAAAGCAUGGGUAGCGAACAGGAUUAGAUACCCGUGUAGUC
rnacentral:rRNA from 1 species